rnacentral:rRNA from 1 species
UAGGAAUAUUAGAAAUGGACGAAAGUCUGAUCUAGCAACACCGCGUGUGCGAAGAAGGCCUUCGGGUCGUAAAGCACUUUUUGGAAGGAAUAGGAAGGAAUGUACUUCCAGAAUAAGUCUCGGCUAACUACGUGCCAGCAGCCGCGGUAACACGUAGGAGGCAAACGUUAUCCGGAUUUACUGGGCGUAAAGCGCGUGUAGGUGGUACUGUAAGUAGGGCGUGAAAGCUCCUGGCUCAACUGGGAGAGGCCGUUCUAAACUACAGAACUAGAGGAUGGUAGAGGGAGGUGGAAUUCCAGGUGUAGCGGUGGAAUGCGCAGAUAUCUGGAGGAACACCGGUGGCGAAGGCGGCCUCCUGGACCAUUCCUGACACUCAGACGCGAAAGCUAGGGUAGCAAACGG